GAUUAUGCAAAUCCGGGAGCGAUCGCUCGCUGGGAUUGGCGGACGGCAGCCGCGAGCAGUUUGCUCGGUGACGUCACCGCCGGGGGAUGGGUUGGAGCGAUGGCGGCGGUGUCCGGCGAGAGGGGACAGGGAGCGGGAAUGUGACCGGGAAUGGGGACAGGGACCAGGAGUGGGACAGGAAAUACGGGACCGAGACCUGGAAUGGGACUAGAAAUACGGGAAAGGGACCGGGAACGGGAGUGGGAAUGGGAAUGGGCCGGGGAUGGGAACCGGGCAAGAGAGACACGGGGAAAAGGAGCACCGGGAACCGGGCUUGGGCGUGGGGGUGGCACCGGGGCGAGGGGGGACCGGGGACAGGAGCGACACUGGGGCGAGUGGACAGCGGGGACCGGGCCGGGGGAGUUAAAUGCUGCAGGGGAUGCUGUGCACCUGCACUGUGGGCAGAGGGGACACCAGAACGGGGUGGGGGGGACACGGGACAGGGGUGACACCGAGGACAGCGAGUUCUGACCGGGAGCUUAACGGUCACAGGGGACACUGUGGGCUGGGCAGCGGGGACACUGGAAGAGAGGAGGGACACCGAACAGCGGGGACACGGACCAGGGGGUGACACCGAGCAAGGGGAGCACCAGACCGAGGUGACACCGGCUCAUCAACCAGCUGGUGGUGGCCUUCAAGGAGGACAACACAGUGGCCUUCAAGCACCUGUUCCUCAAGGGCUACGAGGACGGCACUAAUGACACCCAGGCCAUCUACACCCAUGGGGACCACCUGGAGCACUGACCUUUGUCUUUGAGAAGGUGGCAUGGGGACACUGGGAAGGGUUGGGGACAUCAGGGGAGUUGGGGACAUUGUGGGGCUUGAGGACAAGGGGACCUCCUGGAGCAUGUGGCCUAUGCCCUUGAGAAGGUGGCACAGGGACACCAGACAGGGUUGGGGUCACUGGCAGGGGUUGGGGACACAGUGGUGGUUUGGGGACAUGGAGGUUCUCAGGGCUGUGGAGAUGACACCAGGGUGAUUUGGGGACACUGAGGUACCACAGGGCCACCUCCAGCCCCGUGUCCCUGUCCCCACAGUAUUUGGCUGUCUCCAACAAGACCCUUGGCCACCACAUUUUGGGAACACAGAGAUGUUUUGGGGACAUGGAGAUAUUUGAGUAAACGGGGAUUAUUUGGGACUCUCAAGGUGCUACCACCAGCACUGCUGUCCCUGUCCCCACAGUACCUGGCAGUCCCCAAUGAGACCUUUGGCCACCACACUUAUGCCUGAGGACAUGGGGAUGUUUUGGCACUGUGAGGUGGUUUGGGGCCAUCAAGGUGCCCCAGGGCCACCUCCAGCCUUGGUGUCCCUGUAGAACCUGGGUGUCCACAAUAGGACCCUGGGCCACUGUGCCCAUGGUGGCACCAGGGGUGGCACCAGGCUCCAGCUGUGCCAGCACUUCUUCCACGGGGUGGACAUCGAGCCCAGCAACGACACCUUCAACAUCGACCCCAGCGUCGUCACUGGGGGUUGGGGUGCGGGGUUUGGGGAUGGGGAUUUGGGGUGCAGGGUGCUGGGUUUGAGAUUUGAGGUUUGGGUUUGGGGUUUGGGAAUUGGGGUUUGGGAUGGUCCCACGGGUUUGGGGUUUACGAUUUGACACUUGGGGAUUGGGAUGGUCUUAGGUUGUUUGGGGUUUGAGAUUCAGGCAUUUGGAUGGUCUCAGGGGAUUUGGAAUGGUCCCAGGUGAUUUGAUAUUUGGGGUUUGGGAGGGUCUCAGGGGAUUUGGGAGUUGGGAUGGUCUCAGAGGAUUUGGGAUGCUCUCAGGGCAUUAGGGGUGGUCCAAGAGGUUUGGGAGCUGGGAUUUGGGGUUAGGGUUUGGAUUUGAGGUGCAGGGUUUGGCAUAGUCCCUGGGCAUUUGGGGAUUGGGAUUUGGGAUGUUGCCUGGCAUUUGGGAGCUGGGAUUUGGGGUUUGGAUGUGGGAGCUGGGAGUUGGGAUUUGGGAUGGUCCUGAAGCAUUCAGAAUGGUCCCGGGGCAUUUGGGAUUCAGGAUUUGGGAAGUCUCAGGGGCUUUGGGCUUCCGGCAUUCCCUGACCCCAAUCCCAACCCCACAGAGAUCCUGGGAGUACACCCUGGGGCCCCCCAGCUGCAGGUGCUGGAUGGCACUAAUGGCAACUUCACCCUCCAAUUCCACAGAUAAAUCCCAAAACCCCCCAAAAUUCCUGAUAAUCCCACUUAUGGGUGUUUCCCAUCCCUGAAAUCCCAGUGUGGGAUUUGUGUUCACUUUUCCCAGAUUUCUGCGUGGCGUUUUGGGGUGGAAUUUUCCCUUUCCCAUGUUUAUUCUUGAGAUUUUGGGAACUCCUGGGAUUUUUUUUGAAGGGUUUUCAGGUGGAAUUUUCCAUUCCCAUUGGGUACUUGGGGAUUUUGAGGAGGAAUUUUUCCUUUGCCCAUUGUUUAUUUGGGAUUUUGGGGUGGGUUUUUCCUUUUUUUUUGGGUCUUUUUGGAUGGAAAUUUUCCUGGUGGUUUUUGUUUUUUUUUUUUUUUUUCUGGUUCUUUGAGAACUCCUGGGGUUUUUUUGGGAUUUUGGGGCCUUCUGCUCAUACGAACAGGGGUCAUGAUUGUUCAUUAGCUGAUCUCAGAGUACAAAAACAACAUGGUGAGAGGAUUUCAGUAUCAGUCAAAACAAAUGCACCUUUUAUUGAAUGCCCACAGCAAAUGUGAUAGAGGGAUUUAGAAAGGAGAUAAAGGAUAAAGAGAGAGAGAGAGAGAAAAAGGGGAAAGGGUAUUGCUACCAACACAGAGACGAAAUUCUCCAUGGUCCGGGCACGGGAAGAAUUGUCACGUCAAGGAGAAUCUCAAAAGUUCUGGUUAACUCAAGGGUCUAUUAUAGUUCUUUACAUGAGGGGGGAACAGGUAACAAAGAACAAGUCUCUUGAAAUUGCUGCAGGGGAGCAGAUACAAUGAAGAAUAAGGGUAUUGAAGCCAAUAAGGGGGAACAGGUACAGAUAGUCCAUGUUCUCAGCAGUGAGCAGGACCCACUGUUUUCUUGGUCCAGCGAACACACCUGUAGGCAACACUUUGCUCACUUCAGUCUGGCCAGCACCCCCGUGUCAGAAUUAGAGGGAUCUCAGUCUCAGUCCUUGGGUGGGGGCUUCAAUCUCCCUCUGUCGCAGUGGUAGUGAAGCAGAUGAAGGAUUUUCCAUGGGGGGCUACCAAAGUUGCCCCAGCAAGUUCAUUUGGCCAAGAUGUGGGAAAAUUCAUGGGCUAUUAUCAUGAAGCAGGUGCAAGCAUAAAGGGCACGUUGCCCCCUUAACCAGGCCCUGCUAGAAGCAGUCACUGCAGACACAGCUGCAAAUAAUCACUUGGCAGGCCAGAAUUCUGCUCAGGGGCCUCAGGAUUUUGGUGUGCAUCCUCCUCAAGCAGGCCAGAAUUCCGAUCAGGGUCCUCAGGGUCCCGGUCUCUGUCCUUGAGACAGUCAUGAGGCAAAUGAGGGGAACUUCAGACCAUCUUUCACAUCACUCGGUGACUCAUGACAGUCUUCAAAGGGUCUUCAUCAGCAGGGUUCCGUAAUAUUGUUGCAAAGUCUUCAGGACUCGUCAUGUUGGUAGCAUAUCCCAGAAAACAGAAUCAGUAUGUAGAGAGAGAGAGAAAAGAAGAAAAAGAAAAGAUAGAAAAAGGGGAAAAGGAAAUAAUAAACAAAUACAAUUAAUUAAACAAUAUUAUUUUUAAACAAUUUUUUCAAAUGAUCAAAACACGAAUAAUCAAAGGCAACAAAGCAAUAAACAAAUACAAUAAGUAUUAAUUUAACAUAAUUUUUCAAAACAAAUCACCAAAAAUCAAAAGUAAUUUUCACAAAAUCACAAAAGAGAAUUAAAGAUUAUUUCAAAACAGAUACUCUAAUUUAUAAUUGCCUUGUGUCAACAGCCUUGGGGAUGUCUACAGUGAAGAGGACAUCAGCCAAGUUGUGUGCAUUAAUUAUAGACUUUAAUUUUGUUAGCCGUUUCAGCAUUCUCCAAUUCAUAACAAACAAGAUUGCUGAUAAAACCAAUCAAAACUAGAAUCAAAAGGAUAAUGAUGGGAUGACAUAUAUUGUUCAGGAUACUUGUGGCAGUAGGUGACCACCCAAAAAGAGUAUCCCACCACCUGUGCUUGGCAUCUUUCUUUACUCUUUCCAUGACAUGGUGUAUUUGUCUCACGUUGUGAUGAACAGUUACCAGGGUUUUCUGUCAGAACCCAAGACAUCCCUCUGGGUGCCCUGGAUGGCUCAAAGCCCUGGCAGGGGGUUUGGAGACCCUGGCAUGCAGCCAAAGACCCCUGUGGCUUUGAGUUUGACCCAUGGAGCAAAUUACCAACUUUAUAUGAAGAAUUACAAAUCACAAAAGUUUAAGUAGCAUAACAGUAGUUGUCACAGGGUGAAAUUUUGAAGAAUUCUACUAUGGGGGUCUAGGAGACAAGAUGGAGGGACUUGGGUGUUGUCCUGUUCUUCUUCCUUCUUCUUCCUAGCCUCCAUCUUCUUGGCGAUGGUGGCAUUUUAAGAUUGGUUUAGAGUAGAAAGUCACUGUCUAACGUAGAUGAUAGGUAUUAGAAAAUAACUGUAAAUAAAGUACACAUAGGUUAUAGUAUAAAAGACAACACCACCCCUGUGGGUGGGGAGUGUGCCUCAGACUGACCUGCAGAACAGACCUUGGCAGGCCAGACAGAAAAUGUUUUAGAUAAGGAAUAAUAAACAACCUUGAGAACGACAGCUGAAGACUUCUGAUUUCUUCUCGGACAACUGGGUUUGGGAAAAGAGACUUUUUUAACACACCUUGGGGUUGUCUCAACCAGAGAAAACCCCAAGAGUUUUUUGUCCAUUCUUGAUCUUUCCCAAAAUUUCUAUUAAGUCUUGAUGGAGCAACAAUUGCCUUACCAAAGUGAGGUUUAUCCCAAUGGGAAUAGGCAUCAGUUUGUGAAUCAGCAUGUAGUUGGAUUGUAAAAGGUAGUGAGAGGUAACUGGAACUUCAUAAGAAAAAUCAAGUCCUGCAAUCUUAGUAAAGUUACAAGCACAAAAAUUGGAAUGAUUUUUAGUAUCCACUACUACAUUUUCUACGAAUAUAAUAUCACAAGCAGUUCUAAAGCAUUCAUACCCAUUGCCUAUGUAUAUAAGGACUGUUUUAGAAGUCUUGUUAGGACGAAUUUCAAAGUGACAGAUGAAAUAAAUGGGCAGGAGAUCUUUCUCCUUUUAAAUGACUUUAUUAAAAAGAAUCAGCUCAGGUGGGGCACGGAGGAGGAGGAGGAUGCAGCUUUGUCCACUGGUCUGCAGGAAGAGCUGGGGAUUCUGUCCUCACGAGAGAUUAGGAGAUUCCACCUUUUUGGUCCAACACCCCAGGUCAUCUCUUUAAUCAACAUCUUUCAGGUUAGGGUGAGAAGCAAAAAGGAUCCAGGCAGGCACUGGACUACGCUCCCAUCAUUAGACGUCACUUAGGUCACUUAGUUCUAUGUUGGAUCGUAAUUUUUAGGGGUUUUCCUGGAAAACUGCAAACUUUGGUGCAAUGCAUUUCUCAUCUGCAUACUAGCUCUGAUGCCACUCCCAUUCUCCUGGUACCUGCAGGGUCCUGGUAAGCAUCAGGGGGACAAUGGUUAAUCACCAACUAUUAACAGGUAAUUGAAGAAGAACUCUUAACAAUGAAGCUAACUUAACAGCACUGGACUAACUUGUUUUACUCUGCAACCUUAAAAAAAAUAGAUAACUUUUUAUUCAUAACAACAGAUAUUUUGCUCUGUGUCCAAACUAAUGUCUUGAGCUAUGAUUGCAUUCACAGAUGAACCUUUGUUGUUAUUGGACAAUACAAGAUUCCAAAUUAACAGUUUGCCAUUUUUCAGCAAUUUGACAGGCCCAUUCCCUAUGCUUGGAAGGAUAGAGAAGAGGUCCAUCAUGAUUCAGCCCUAAUGCAAUAAUAGGAAAUAUCAAAUGCGCUGAGGCAUUACGUAUGGUUAACACAAAAGCUGUGGCUGUGUUUGAAAUGGGGUCAUAAGUAAAAUUCACCAAGUUCCACCAGGACUGGAAUUCUCUUUCAAAAUCGAUGGCACUGUCCCUAAUUAUUUUCUGAAUUUCAGUAGGAAAAGUGCUUUCUUCACCUUCUUUUUAAUUGAGGCAGCAACCUUCUCCAUCCACAAUUGUGCUUGGAUACAGCUGAGAGCCAAAGAAACGUUGUUUUGUGUAGCACUGAGUGCAUCAAUUACCAAUUUGUGAUCAUUUACAUUUACCUUCUCCCAAUUUGGUAAAAUGUUUGAUAGCAACUACUGGUGUGUUCCCAAAGCCAAUAAGGAUGACUACAGUGGUUGUUAUUUGGUCAAAUCUUUAGUUGUGGCAGCCAAUUUAUUCAUUAGUACUUCUAAAUCAAUACUAUUUAGAAUUCCCAAACCUGUUGCCACAACACCGGUUAUGUCUCUUGGCAUCCAUUUUUUAAAAGAGCUUCAUUUUCGCAGCCAGGUCAUCCAACCCUCAAAGGAAGCCUGCAAGACAGGCGAACAGGACGGCUGAAUUUCAGAUACAUUGUUUUGCAUCAGCAAUUUGACUUGUUUAGGAGACCGUGUUGGAUUGAACAAUAUUUGUUGUUUAUUGGAGUUUACCAAUAUUACUGACAGGACUGCUUUGGUCCGUCUGGCUUCGGUUGCUGACCAAAUAGCAGCACCUGUGGUCCUUCCUCCCCAGAGACGCCACUCAGUACCUGUGGUCACAGCUGGGCACAUGGAGACAAGUCCGGGCAUGCCCUGAGCACCAGAGCUUGCGGGCUGGAGUUUGCUGUUGAGGGGGUCACUCCUCAGGCCUUCCUGAGCUAGAGAAACCUUUGAGGCGAGGUGAAGAAAGGAGUGGUCCUGAUGGAGAGUUUUCAAUCCAGAGUUUUAUUUUGGAGGCACGGCUUCUGAAUCCUGCAACAACUCCACUAAACUUCUCCCAACAGAACUCUCCACCAGAACCCCGACAGCGUGGUCUGCUUGUCCUUUUACCUGGGGAGAGGGGCAGGGGAGGGGACCCAGGGACCACCAGCCAGGCACAGGGGAGGGGGUCUCAGGUGAGAGGGACACCUGGGGGGUGGAGAGCAUCCUUUGAACCUGCCAGUCGCUCAAUGAUGCUCUCCUUGGAAUUUCUGGGUUGACAGACCGUGCCCAGCAGGGGUCAAGGGUGGGGAAAGGAAGGGUGAUUGACACCCCACCUGGGGAAGAAAAUUUCAGGGAGAAAUCAGGGGAAACUGAGGCAAGUCAUGACAUCACACUGCAACAGUUGUUGACCAGUUUUCCUGAUUAUAUAUGGUCCAAUUUCAAAAAUUCUUGGGCAGAGCAUGACCGGUGAUUGGGCUGGAGUGGUGAUAGUAGAAAACUGGGUCAUAGCAGUUAUUACAAAUUUGAAAGAAAGGCCUUCAGUAUUUCUGGACCAAAGACAAACUACUUCUGCGGUUUAUGUUAAUGUAAAACUGUGCCAACAGUCUUGUACUCUUGGGUGUGUACAAACCUGUUCAUGCUUAUUUGCCUGAUCUGUUGAAACACUGAUUGAGAUUGCCUUACUAUAGGUAGUUCCGUUAAUCAUUAGCAUCCUAUGCUAAUUUCUUCUCCCACUAUCCCUUGAAACUUCCAGGUUUUUUGUUUUUCCCAUUCCUGCCUAGUGUUGAUUUCAAUAUCUGAUUUUCAUGCAUAACAACACUCGAUAGGUUUAAACCCUUUCAAUUUCCCAUGGAUUCGGUAAAGUGAACAAAAGCCUGGGACUAAGGCCAUUUGGUAACAUACUGCCUAAGGGGGCUCUCAGUCCCUUCUACCAAUUGGAGUAUAACUAUUGUACUUAAUCUGGGCUUCGUAGUCUCAGUCCCUUCUACCCACUGGGAUGUAACUACUGUACUCAAUGUGAGCUUUGUGCUCUCAGUCCCUUCUACCCACUGGGAUGUAACUACGGUACUCAGUGUGGGUUUUGUUAUAGCGGUUAUCUUAAAUUUAUAAACUAAGCCUUUUAAACCUAACAGGUCAGUCAAGUUAUUUUGCCAGUGGCAUGUCACAUAAGUUGGUUUAGCUAAAGUGAAAUUAUGCCAGCAAUCAAUUGGUUCAUUUUUACAGUCCUUUGUAAUUGCAACAUUGUUAGUUUUGGGACCUAGAGUGUAAUUACCAACAUACUCCAGGUUGUCCAGGGUGAUGUGCUGGAUUUUUGGAAUCGUCAGGUCCCCGUAGUGAGGGAAUGAUGCUUGGAGGUGUCAGGCAAAAGGCAGUGAUUUUGGGACAUCCAUUCACCUCCCAUCUACUGUUCACUCCUUUAACAGCUUCCCAUAAUCGAACAUCCCAAUUUCCCUCCUGUGACUUCAGAAGUCAUUCAUUUCAAAAUACCAUUGGUCCUUUCUACAAUCCCGUUAGCUUGAGGGUAGUAAGGAAAGUGGAAAGUCCACUUAAUUCCUUCACCUUUUGCCCAAUCCUGUACACCUCUAGCAGUGAAGUGGGACCCGUUGUCAGAUUGAAUUUUCUGUGGCUUUGGGAAAGUUCCAAACCACCCGUGCCAAGCUUUAGCCAUAUUAUCACCUGUAGCUCUUUUAAAAGCAUCAGCUUGAACCAACCCAGAUACAAUCUCUGCUCCUACUAGCACAAAGUGUUUACCUCCUGACUUCUUAAAGGGGCUGAUAUAAUCUACUUGCCAUGCAUUCCAUAAGCCUUUAUGCUUUUUUAAAUGCAGAGGGUCAUCUUCUAAAGGAUGUCUCUCUCCAGUCACCUGCAACGCUGCUCACAGGCUGAUAUGCAUGUUUUUUAUCCUUUUGGGGCCUGUGAUAGUUGUGAUUAAUAUAUCUCCAGAUUUAUUUUUAGUGAGCAUUCUUAAAUAACCCAGCCUCUGCCCCUUCGCCCACCUGUAAGUGGCAGAGAUAUUAGUUUCCUGAAAACCUUGUUGGUUUUGGUUCACUGUCUGUGCUCUGAAGGAGAGGCUGGGGGACUGUUGUGCUAUUUAGAUACUGAGAGAGGAGCUGCAAGAGGGUUAAUUUUGGCUCACUGCCAGUGUUCUGAGAGGGAGACUGGGGGAGGGUUCCACUGCCUAGAUUUUGAGAGAGAAGCUGGGAUGAGGUUAAUUUUGGCUCCUUGCCUAUGUUUUGUUAGAGAGGCUGGGGGGGAUUAGAGUGUUGGAGGAGGUGUGUGUUGGUUCCUGAGAAGGGAGAAGUGCACUGGGUUGAGCCAAUGGAUUCGGUUUUCCAUAGUGCCAAUUGUUUAUUAUUUUCUGCAAUUUAUCGAGGGGCAAACCAUCCAUCACCUCUUUGAGGACCCCCUUUUUAAUUCCCAACAACUACCAACAGUGGUGGUUAGAGAUCUGUUUUCCCUUCUCUACAUUUUACGUGUGAGAAGUCCCAAUAAACAGAACACAUUUUGUUUUUUUCUGAUUUCUCCUCCGGGGUUUUUACAGGUCCAUAUUGUCUACAAUAAUUAAUCCGAUCUACUGCAACUUCACCCCAUGUCCAAACUUUAUGGCUACUGGCAGAUGAAUCAGAUUGAGAAGCUGCGGGCUGUGAGGGGGAAGAGUGUGGAGUGAAGCCAGGAUCAGUAGAUCCAGUUUGGUCAGUGGAGUUACUGAGGAAUCUAAAAUGUCCCCACUGCGGGGGGACCCGCAUCCCCCUGCCAGGGCUCUGCUGCCACCCACAGCGGGACCCCCCAGAAACACCUCCCAGGGACCCCUGAUGUCCCCUUGAGGGGCAUCUGUGGCUUGGCUUUGAAGCCCUGCCAGCUCCAAACAUCCCCCCCCCAAAAAAAACCCCAAACCCAGGGAUCCCCCCAGGUUAUUUGGGCCGAGUUCCUCCUCCCCAGGCACCUGCAGGAUGGCGGCGAUGGUUCCAGAGCUGUGGUGAGUUCAGGAAGUGCCAGGGCCACGCGGUUCCCCCCUCUCCUCCUGCUUCUUCCUGCUGCUGCUCCGCCUCUUCCUCCUUCCCUCCUCCUCCUCCGCUGGCCCUGAACCCCGAACUGUGACCCCAAGGUCAAUGAAAGGGCGGGAACUGUUAAGGGAAGGGGUGGGGUCAAGGAAUGGGUGGGAACUGUGAGAGGAAAGGGGUGGGGUCAAGGAAAGGGCAGGAACUGAGAGGGGAAGGGGCAGGCUCAAGUGGCCACAUGGUCCUAAAAGGGCCUGGUUUGGCCUAAAAUCAUCCAAGAGGGUGUCAUAUGCAGCCUAAAUCCACCUCUUUUGGCUGAAAAUCAGCCAGAUGGGCCUAAAAUCCCCCAAAGUGGUUUACAAUCCCCACAAAAUGGCUGAAAAUCACCCUUAAAUCUUCCAAAUGGGUGUAAAAUCCAUCUUAAACAUACGUGGUUUGGCCUAAAAUCACCCAAAUGGGCCUAAUAUCCACCCUAAAAUCCACCUGGUUUUGCAUAAAAUCACCAAGACAC